UCAUCUCUUUCUUCUAGUUGUAUAUCUGAAUUCAUUUUGCUGAAGUUAUAUCAGUCAGUUACAUAUAAUGCUCAGUUUGAAAAUAAGUUUACAAUAAUUAUUCUUUCAUUAAAUGUGUUUCCCUAUUUGUUUAUUAGAAGGCUAAUUCCUAAUUACAAUGUAUGUAGGCUGUUUCCUCAUCCUAGUAACCCAUAUUCACAUCCUCAGGAAUUUCAGUGUAUAAGAUGCACCCCUCUUUUAGAGUUUGGAGGGGGAGAGCUAUGUCAUGAUCCAUAUUGAAUAUUAUUUGAAAGAUUUUUUAAGGGAGCAUUACAGGUAGUAAUUUCAUAGUUGCUAAUAGAAAUAGUGGUUUCAUUUAUGGAAACUUAGAAGUAAUUGUCUUUAAUUCUUUUGGUAACACCAAAAACAAAAUUACCUAGAGAUUAUUGUUAUGCCUUAAAUCUUGCUUGAUAAAGUAGUGUAAAUUUGUAGUAUUUGAAAUGAUAUGCACCAAGUUCAAAACUACUGCAUGUCAGCCUGUUUUGUGAAGUUGCAUCAUCAUAGCAAGUGGUUAUUUUCUUCUCAAUACAAAUAGAGACAAGUUUAUUAAUUUUUAAAAUAAUUUUUUAGGCCUUUCCUGGGAACAUUCUCAUUUAUAUAAAUAUACUGAUGUGUUAAAGUUAUCUUAGUUGCUAAGUAAAUGAUACCUAAAAGUUAUCACUACCUCACAAAAGUUAUCUGUCUACGUAUAUAAUUCUAAGCAGUCCAUCAUUCUUCUGGAAGCUUGAGAUCGUUCUGCAUGAUUGAAAAAUACUAUUAAUGCAAUUGAGCUUUUUUAAUUAGUUGCCUGCAGCUCAACACAGUUCAGUCCAAUAUCUCUAAGCCUUGAUGCCUGUCCAUUGUAUGUGUGUAACAUAAAUUUCAUAUGCCCUUUUUUUUUUCUGGGAAAAUGGGUCUUAUAUGCUGUUCACUAAGAACUGCCAGGUUUAAAAAGAAAAAAAAGGUUUUAAAGACAUUUGGUAACUUUCAUGUACUUAACCCAUUAACGCCAGUAUAUUUUGAAGCCAAAAAUAAAAGAUUCCGGGCAGCUACAAAAUUGGCGGGCAGAGCUUCCCCGUAAUCCGUCUGCCUACCGGCCGCGGCCCACUGCAGUAUCAGAGCACGGGCCCGAUACAGUGUCACACUGGCGGGACGCCCGGCAAUGUUUAUUUUUUCGGGUGUUUCAUAUGUGGGACAUCCGUCGUGAAUGGGUUAACUGAUCACACCAAGCAAUGAUAGCUGUAGAGGUUCAAAUGAUUCCCCUCUCUAAGGAAGAUAAUAUCAGAAUAUGCAUGAAUUUCUGUCUGUUAUGUGCAGAUAAAAUAAUUAUUACUGUUAAGAUUACACAAACAGAAAAGUAUGUUGCUGGCUCACAAGAAAUAUUACUGGAAAACCUAUACAAUUUCUUAGUAAGGUAUGUUUGUUUGUCAUGGUGAAUAGUGAUCAUAUUUUUAAAAUAUGUCAGAGAUUCUAUCUAUAUUUAAUUGUAAUCAAAACAGGUGAGAAAUUAUUCUUUGGGAUUUAACAAAGAAAUGAAAUGAUUAUGCAGAAAAGUUUAGUCAGUAACACUUUGAAAUCAAAUUCUAUAGCACAUGGAAAGUCAUCAGAAUAAACUAAAUCUUGUACUUAUGUUGAUAUUGUGGCAUAUGUUAAGUGUCCAACAUAUGUUGAUCUUGAAACCUACAUCAGGCUGUCUCCUUCCUUGUCAUGGAAAGCAACAGAUAGAAUAUCAGUCGUGGGGUAAGGUUAUGCGUAUGCCUUAAAGUAUAGUUGGCUUCAUGAGUUUGCGACCACCCUAAAAUUAUUGAGCAAGGGUUUUAUCUUGUAACACUAUAAUGCAUUGAGAUAUAACUAACCAUGGUUUUUAAGUAACAAUAUAAAAAUGGCUAAGACAAUUUGGUACUCAUAUUUCAAUAUUAGCAAUGAAAUGCACAAGAAAGCAUAUGAAAACACAAAUAUACCAGGUUGAUUUUUUUUUAUCAAAUAUUAAUGGCAUUAGCUAUACUCUUUACAGCAUGCACUCACUAAAAGUUGAUGUUUUAAAAUGGGGAUAAUAAUAAAUGAAUGAAUAGAAUAUAAAAGCAUGUAAAUAUAUUAUAUGAUAGUCUUUUGCCUAUAUUUCCUUUUCCCUUUCCCCCAUUAUUGAUUACCAUUUAACCUGAAUGUUUUUUUUUUUCUUUUCUUUUCUUUUUCUUUUCUGGUGAACAAAAACAUAUGUUGCUUUUAUACCUAUUUGUUCUUCCUUUUUCAGCCAUUUCAUGGCUGAAUAAAAAAGGAUAUAUGAUCAUAUUUCAUGUAAUUCUUAUAAAAUAUUGUUUUAGCAUAUGUUAUCACAUCUGUGACUCAAUUCUCAUAAAGUAUCAGUUGUUAUUUUGUUCAUAUUUUCUCAAAGCAUAGUCCCAACAUGAAGUAUCCCUAGCAAUGGAUUCACAAAAUGGCCACUAUUUGGCGUACUAGCUUGUACUUUGCUUACUAGUACUUCCAUUCUUUGCUGAUCAAGGUAUUGUUGUCAGAUCUUUGAAACUGCAAUGGUCUCAGUUUAUAUAGCCAAGUGCACAGCCCAUGUAAUUUCAAAACAACCAGUACACUACAGUUUGUGCAUGAUAGCAAUCUUGGGUUUGUAUUAGCAGAGGGGUAUUGAGUAUUGAGGUACGAGUAUAGCAGUAAUUCAGUAUAUUGGAGUACUCCUAAUGAUGCUGGGAGGGAGUCCAUACAUACAUAUCCAUUAGUUUUGUCAUACUAAUUUUGCAUGCACAUUAUUGUUAAGAACAUUAUGAUAAUAAUGAUGAUAAUAUCAAUAGAUGAAAGAAUAUUACAUUUUCAUACUUAAAAUUAUUUUUUUCACUUCCCUAUUUCUUAUACUAGCAUUAACAAUGAUCAUACUACCUAGCUGUGUCUAUAUUCCCACAUUUAACAAUUUCAAGUUGUAUUCGGCUGUGUUGGCAACCCUGUUCUUCUGCUCAUUGCGCUCAUCAUUCUUUCUUGAGAAAUGGAAUGGAGUGGGGAGGAUUGGAGGGUUGAGAGUAUGUGAAACAGGAACCACAUAGGUAGGAGGAUUGAGAGAUGGAGUCAUCUGAUCCCACUGAGCCGGGCUGAAUGGUGUCAUGUGAAAAGCCUAAUGAAGAUUUAGUUAACUUACCAAGAGACUGUGAGGCCUUCUUUUGACUUUGGAGUCUCAUUUCCGUUUCAAAGCCUGCUGGUACUCGAAGGCACUAUGAACCAGCUCGGAGCUCCACUCAGCACCUACUCUUAACAGUACAAAUACCAAUACAUACAUAAUGAGGAGCAUUGAAGGCACUAUCAUAAGCUCACCUGCAGCCUGGAACCAUGCAGAUUCUCCUGAUAGCAUGUGGAUCAGUAGAUGAAGAUGAUCAAAACCCGGGUGAAGUGACCAUGUUGGGUUUGUCUAUCACUGGCCAAUCAGCCAUUAAACAUUCCAGGCAGCAGGAGGCUCUGUCUAAGCCUCUGCAAUAAUCAUUUGCACAUCAAUAUAGUUCAGCAAAGUCAAAUAUGACAAAAUAUGGGAAAACCGCUGGGCAAAAGCACUGUUACGAAAAACCACACUUUUCAUUGUCUAAAGAAUGAAUGAUGAGCGCAUUGUGCAGGAGAGCAGGGUUGCCAACACCACACAUAGUAGGAUUGCCAACACAGUGGAAUAGGACUGCAAAUUGUUAAAUGCGAGAAUGUAGAUGCAUUUGGGUGGUAUGAUUAUUGUUAAUGCUAGUAUAAGAAACAGGUCAUAUGUAAAACAAUUUUUUCUUGAAUAUUCAGGUAACUGACUCCUUAGUGACUAAAUGACACAAAACCCCUAUGCAGUGCAUGUAUCUGGUACCAUUGUGUUAAGAUGAUAUUACUUUUUUUAUUUAUAGUUAAGUAAAGGAAAACCAAAGCAGAAAAGAGGAGUGCAGUAGUAAUUUUAAUUUUUGACUGAUGGAGAUAGAACUGGUCAUAACCUGUAACAGAUUGGAGACUUGGUCCUGCCAACAAUACACCUGUUGCAAGAAGCAUCAAGUUAUGGCAGCAAGGUCUAAGGUAGAGUCUAGAUUUUGCAACUUUACACCAAAACUGGCAAUAUCGGGCUUUGGUUUAGUUCUUUUGAAUUACACCAGGAAGAAAUGUUCUUGGUGUUGGUGUAGGAGAUUGCUAAUCCCACCAUAAGGGUCACAAAUAGAUUCUGACAGGAUAGAAACCUCUUUAGCAAAGUCAAGUUAUGUGAUGACAAUAUUAACCAAUGUUGCCCUAUAUUGACUUCGGAUGACAUCUCUACCCAGUAGCCAGCCCUUGUUACUGCCGAUAUGUAUAGGUGUAAGGACACAUUCUUGGAGCAACAAGUGGCCACGCGGUCUGGGAGUCAAGCGGAGCAAGGAAUAUUAGCCUCCAGUUGGUGUCCCCUGAGCGGCCUUCAAGGGCCCAGGCCUGCUUCCCAGGGCCUGCAUGGGUGAUGGGGUGUUACCCACCACAGGAAUUGAAUGCUUUCAGCAUGUGCUAAAAUCAGGCCCUCCACUCUUUCUGAGCGCAUUUACAUAUGUUUGCAUGCUUUCAUGUAUUUGCAAAGGUUUAUAUGUACAUUCACAAACAUUAAUUUGUUCAUAUAUACACAUACAAACAUAUAUGCGUGAAGGAGGGAAAGCAGCACUGCAACAUCGCGCACUCUGCAGCACGGUCCCAUGCACCGCCUAUGUCCAAAAUAAAUAAUGUUACGGGAUUACAUACCAUAUUGCAAAAUACGGCAGCCAGUGGGUUAAUCUUAUGAUGACAGGGCCUGACUUAUUUGUAAUGUAAUAUCACGCAACAGUCUAGACUUCGUGACUAGGCCUAAGCUGUGUACAGCUGGCCCACCUGCUGUGUGUCAUGACGUAUUUACACAUCAUAGGCUUAUACUUUAGCUAUACCUGUCACUGAGGAGAACUUGUUCAACUCAAGAAUGGGUGGUAAGUUAGAGAACCUGCCACCUGCAUGCUGUGCCCCACAUGGUUUUAGGAUACUAUGUCACGGGGAAACUAUGUAGCGAAAGUAAUGUUGCCACAUUGCGGUGCAACACAGCUUCUGUUUUGCAAAUGGAUAAAAUUUUGCAGGGACAACACGUUGAAUUGCCUUUUAUGUCAGUACGUUGCGGUUCAAUGUCAACAGACCAGUGGGGAUCACCAUUACUUUGCCUAUUUGCUCCAGAUAUUGCAAAUCUACAAGGAUAUAAGUUUAUAAUUUUGCAAUACGUGAUUUGAUCCUCUUGACAACGACUACAAUUGGUCUCAGAUGAGCCCAGCUGACUUCGAAUGUUUACAAUAUGUGCGAUGGGCUCUGCUGCUGAGGAAGCAUGUUCCUUCAUGGCUGCUAGUAUCUCCUCAACCUCAGCCUUCCCAGGAACAGCAGGUUGUCUGUGGAUGGGUUUUUCCACUUCACAAUUUCCCAUUAAUGGUGUGAACCCUACCACCACAAGUUGUCAUCAUAUCCCCAGAGAACUUUGUCGUCCUUGGGGACGUUGCCUAGAGAAAGUAGAGGAGGUUAAUCGUCACUCAGUCCUUCGUACGAUGAAACAUCAAGCUCGGGGUAGGGUGGUCAUUGAAACUCCGUAGAGUUCUCCAUGUUGCAUGAUAUAUCAGUCCUUGAGUAAUAUUUAAUAAAGCAAGAUAACUAGAAAUGAGACACACAGCUCAAAGGAACGCUGUUCGCAGUGUCAAUGCAAUGCAAUGAGUAAUUUGGGCAGGUAAAAUCAGCGGACAACCAGGUUAUGUGAGGACAACUCGCGCAACAUGGUGUCUGCGACACGGUGUCCGCCUGACAUUGAGUCACCCCCGUCAUACAAGUACACGACCUUCCUUCCAGGUCAUAGUGUCCGCACGACAUGGAGAUAGUGCACCCCCCACAUGUCAUGCAGGAUUGGUGACUACUGGUUAACAGGCAAGGUGUGUUUUCCCUUUUCCAUGCCCAUAGCUUGUUGACACCUUCCCAGCCUGCCUAGUUUCAUGGGUGGCAGGGAAAUCAUCCCAUAAGUCUUGAUAAUGGAUAGCUAUGAAUGGUUACUGGAACUUGAUGAGGGAUCUGGGCCUUGAGAACUGUAAGACAUAUGUAUUUUUAUGAUGAUUUUAUCAAAUAUAUCCCCUUCCUUCUAAAAAAAACUAGAUAUCUCAUUGAUUGUACCAUCUCAGUUUGCUUUUCAAAAGAAAGACUAUGGGAAACUGUAUAGUUUUGUGAAUAAUGGUUAUCAUGAUUUUUUUUCACAUAAAUUUUAUAAAAGAUUUUUUUUUCCAUUAGUCAUUCUUCGAGGAUUUUAUCAAAUUCAUGCCCUCAGUCUGUGUCAUGUAAAAAUGUACAUACACUUUAAAUAAAAUGAUUCACUAGAAA
rnacentral:lncRNA from 1 species